GAAUGGGUCCCUUGGGCAAGAGGGCUUUGAAACCCGGUCAGGGCCGAAAGGCAGCAGCCGUAAAAAGCAUCCCUUGGGUCAUGGGGCUCAUUCCUU
rnacentral:SRP_RNA from 2 species